rnacentral:rRNA from 1 species
UACGUAGGGUGCGAGCGUUGUCCGGAAUUAUUGGGCGUAAAGGGCUCGUAGGCGGUCUGUCGCGUCGGGAGUGAAAACUCAGGGCUUAACCCUGAGCCUGCUUCCGAUACGGGCAGACUAGAGGUAUGCAGGGGAGAAAGGAAUUCCUGGUGUAGCGGUGGAAUGCGCAGAUAUCAGGAGGAACACCGGUGGCGAAGGCGGUUCUCUGGGCAUUACCUGACGCUGAGGAGCGAAAGUGUGGGGAGCGAAAAGG